GACGAACGCUGGCGGCGUGCCUAAUACAUGCAAGUAGAACGCACAGUUUAUACCGUGUCUUGCUACACCAUAGACUGUGAGUUGCUAACUGGUAAGGAACGCGUAGGUAGCCUGUCUGGUAGCGGAGGAUAACUAUUGGAAACGAUAGCUAAUACCGCAUAAUAUUAAUUAUUGCAUGAUAAUUAAUUUAAAGGUGCAAUUUCACCACUACCAUAUGGGCCUGGGUUGUAUUAGCUAGUAGGUGAGGUAACGGCUCACCUAGGCGACGAUACAGAGCCGACCGGGGAAGGUGAUCGGCCACACUUGGACCGAGCACCGGCCCCGACUCCUACGGGAGGCAGCCGUAGGGAAUUUUCGGCAAAGGACGGAAGUCUGACCGAGCCAAGCCGCGUGAGUGGAGAAGGUUCUCGGAUCGUAAAGCUCUGUUGUAAGAGAAGAACGGGUGUGAGAGUAGAAAGUGCACCCUGUGACGGUACCGUAACAGAAAGGGACGGCUAACUACGUG
rnacentral:rRNA from 1 species